GUUGUGGGUGAGUGAGUGAUCCUGUACUGUCGAGAAAAGCUUCGUGAGCGAGGUGGCGGGUCCGCCCGUACCCUAAACCGACACUGGUGGAUAGGUAGAGUAUACCGAGGCGAUCGAGUGAAUCGUGGUGAAGGAACUCGGCAAAAUGCCCCCGUAACUUCGGGAGAAGGGGGGCCCGGAUCGUGUACCCACUAGCUGGGGAAGCGUGAAGGGCCGCAGAGACCAGGGGAAAGCGACUGUUUACUAAAAACACAGGUCCGUGCGAAGUUGUAAGACGAUGUAUACGGACUGACUCCUGCCCGGUGCUGGAAGGUUAAGAGGACCUGUUAGAGAGCAAUCUCGAAGCGGAGAAUUUAAGCCCCAGUAAACGGCGGUGGUAACUAUAACCAUCCUAAGGUAGCGAAAUUCCUUGUCGGGUAAGUUCC
rnacentral:rRNA from 18 species